UACGGAGGGUGCGAGCGUUGUUCGGAAUCACUGGGCGUAAAGCGCGUGUAGGCGGCCCACUAAGUCUGAUGUGAAAGCCCGGGGCUCACCCCCGGAAGUGCAUUGGAAACUGGUGGACUCGAGUCCCGGAGAGGAGAGUGGAAUUCCUGGUGUAGCGGUGAAAUGCGUAGAUAUCAGGAGGAACACCGGUGGCGAAGGCGGCUCUCUGGGCGGUGACUGACGCUGAGACGCGAAAGCGUGGGGAGCAAACAGG
rnacentral:rRNA from 1 species